GGCUUCCAUCUGGAAGAAUCUGGAGACAGGUGGCUGCAUGGCUGUCGUCAGCUCGUGUCGUGAGAUGUUGGGUUAAGUCCCGCAACGAGCGCAACCCUUGCCUUUAGUUGCCAGCAGUUCGGCUGGGCACUCUAAAGGGACUGCCGGUGUUAAACCGGAGGAAGGUGGGGAUGACGUCAAGUCCUCAUGGCCUUUAUGACCAGGGCUACACACGUACUACAAUGGCCGAUACAAAGGGCAGCGACACUGCGAGGUGAAGCCAAUCCCGUAAAAUCGGUCUCAGUCCGGAUUGGAGUCUGCAACUCGACUCCAUGAAGUUGGAAUCGCUAGUAAUCGUGGAUCAGCAUGCCACGGUGAAUACGUUCCCGGGCCUU
rnacentral:rRNA from 1 species